rnacentral:rRNA from 1 species
GUCGAGAAUUUUUCUCAAUGGGGGAAACCCUGAAGGAGCGACGCCGCGUGGGGGAUGAAGGGCUUCGGCUCGUAAACCCCUGUCAUUUGUGAGCAAGUGUUAUUGUUUAAGAGAUGAUGACAUUGAUAGUAGCAAAAGAGGAAGGGACGGCUAACUCUGUGCCAGCAGCCGCGGUAAUACAGAGGUCCCAAGCGUUGUUCGGAAUCACUGGGCGUAAAGGGUGCGUAGGCGGUAUAGUAAGACUUGGGUGAAAUCUCCAUGCGUAACGUGGAGGGAGCCUGGGAGACUGCUGUGCUAGAGGAUUGGAAGGGAGACUGGAAUUCUUGGAGUAGCAGUGAAAUGCGUAGAUAUCAAGAGGAACACCAGUGGCGAAGGCGAGUCUCUGGACAAGACCUGACGCUGAGGCACGAAGGCCAGGGGAUCAAACGGGAUUAGAAACCCCGGUAGUCC